rnacentral:rRNA from 1 species
UACGUAGGUGGCGAGCGUUGUCCGGAUUUACUGGGCGUAAAGGGAGCGUAGGCGGACUUUUAAGUGAGAUGUGAAAUACUCGGGCUCAACUUGAGUGCUGCAUUUCAAACUGGGAGUCUAGAGUGCAGGAGAGGAGAAUGGAAUUCCUAGUGUAGCGGUGAAAUGCGUAGAGAUUAGGAAGAACACCAGAGGCGAAGGCGAUUCUCUGGACUGUAACUGACGCUGAGGCUCGAAAGCGUGGGGAGCAAACAGG